GAUGAACGCUGGCGGCGUGCCUAAUACAUGCAAGUCGAGCGAACGGACGAGAAGCUUGCUUCUCUGAUGUUAGCGGCGGACGGGUGAGUAACACGUGGAUAACCUACCUAUAAGACUGGGAUAACUUCGGGAAACCGGAGCUAAUACCGGAUAAUAUUUUGAACCGCAUGGUUCAAAAGUGAAAGACGGUCUUGCUGUCACUUAUAGAUGGAUCCGCGCUGCAUUAGCUAGUUGGUAAGGUAACGGCUUACCAAGGCAACGAUGCAUAGCCGACCUGAGAGGGUGAUCGGCCACACUGGAACUGAGACACGGUCCAGACUCCUACGGGAGGCAGCAGUAGGGAAUCUUCCGCAAUGGGCGAAAGCCUGACGGAGCAACGCCGCGUGAGUGAUGAAGGUCUUCGGAUCGUAAAACUCUGUUAUUAGGGAAGAACAUAUGUGUAAGUAACUGUGCACAUCUUGACGGUACCUAAUCAGAAAGCCACGGCUAACUACGUGCCAGCAGCCGCGGUAAUACGUAGGUGGCAAGCGUUAUCCGGAAUUAUUGGGCGUAAAGCGCGCGUAGGCGGUUUUUUAAGUCUGAUGUGAAAGCCCACGGCUCAACCGUGGAGGGUCAUUGGAAACUGGGAAACUUGAGUGCAGAAGAGGAAAGUGGAAUUCCAUGUGUAGCGGUGAAAUGCGCAGAGAUAUGGAGGAACACCAGUGGCGAAGGCGACUUUCUGGUCUGUAACUGACGCUGAUGUGCGAAAGCGUGGGGAUCAAACAGGAUUAGAUACCCUGGUAGUCCACGCCGUAAACGAUGAGUGCUAAGUGUUAGGGGGUUUCCGCCCCUUAGUGCUGCAGCUAACGCAUUAAGCACUCCGCCUGGGGAGUACGACCGCAAGGUUGAAACUCAAAGGAAUUGACGGGGACCCGCACAAGCGGUGGAGCAUGUGGUUUAAUUCGAAGCAACGCGAAGAACCUUACCAAAUCUUGACAUCCUUUGACAACUCUAGAGAUAGAGCUUUCCCCUUCGGGGGACAAAGUGACAGGUGGUGCAUGGUUGUCGUCAGCUCGUGUCGUGAGAUGUUGGGUUAAGUCCCGCAACGAGCGCAACCCUUAAGCUUAGUUGCCAUCAUUAAGUUGGGCACUCUAAGUUGACUGCCGGUGACAAACCGGAGGAAGGUGGGGAUGGCGUCAAAUCAUCAUGCCCCUUAUGAUUUGGGCUACACACGUGCUACAAUGGACAAUACAAAGGGCAGCGAAACCGCGAGGUCAAGCAAAUCCCAUAAAGUUGUUCUCAGUUCGGAUUGUAGUCUGCAACUCGACUACAUGAAGCUGGAAUCGCUAGUAAUCGUAGAUCAGCAUGCUACGGUGAAUACGUUCCCGGGUCU
rnacentral:rRNA from 1 species